GUCAGGUUGGCCGAGUGGUCUAAGGCGCCAGACUUAAGUUCUGGUUCUCAUACGAGAGCGUGGGUUCGAACCCCACACCUGACA